rnacentral:rRNA from 1 species
GCCCAAGAGAUCGGGAUAACACCUGGAAACAGAUGCUAAUACCGGAUAACAACAGAUGAUGCCUAUCAACUGUUUAAAAGAUGGUUCUGCUAUCACUCUUGGAUGGACCUGCGGUGCAUUAGCUAGUUGGUAGGGUAACGGCUACCAAGGCGAUGAUGCAUAGCCGAGUUGAGAGACUGAUCGGCCACAUUGGGACUGAGACACGGCCCAAACUCCUACGGGAGGCAGCAGCA